GAUGAAGAACGUAGCGAAAUGCGAUAAGUAGUGUGAAUUGCAGAAUUCAGUGAAUCAUCGAAUCUUUGAACGCACAUUGCGCCCUUUGGUAUUCCAAAGGGCAUGCCUGUUCGAGCGUCAUUUGUACCCUCAAGCUUUGCUUGGUGUUGGGCGUCUUGUCUCUAGCUUUGCUGGAGACUCGCCUUAAAGUAAUUGGCAGCCGGCCUACUGGUUUCGGAGCGCAGCACAAGUCGCACUCUCUAUCAGCAAAGGUCUAGCAUCCAUUAAGCCUUUUUUUCAACUUUUGACCUCGGAUCAGGUAGGGAUACCCGCUGAACUUAAGCAUAUCAAUAAGGGA
rnacentral:misc_RNA from 1 species